rnacentral:lncRNA from 1 species
UUAGCAUAUGCCAAAGAGGGUGAUGGCGAAAGCCGGCGCGCUCAAGAGACAUUAUUUAAAUUACUUGACAUUCUCGUUCAAAUGCGUUGUUACUUCAUAUUACUUCUUUUUUCCCCACCAAAGCUCGCCGGUUCGAGUGCCCUAAAUAAUUCUAUAUUAAUUACCUGUGCCCUAAUUACUUUCGCCUUAACGCCAAAGGCCAUCAAUUCCA